rnacentral:lncRNA from 1 species
CGGUCUCUGAACAAAUAAUUCUGCUCUUCCCUGUUUUCAGCGUUUCUGUUGUUCCCUCCCUCAUUCUACAGAGGGGAGCACCAGGGACAGGGAAGAAGGAAGUCCUACAGCCGGGCUAGUUUCGUUGCUUUAAGCAACAGUGAUGUUUUUUUCUGCUUUUCUGAAGGGUGUUUGUCCUGCUUCUAGCUGUUCAAAGUCCUAACAUUGUUAUUGCUAAGAAAGGUAAAAGAAGAAGAGCCUGUGCACUGGCUGCUGGAUCAAUCAAGGAACGGGAAGAAAAGCAGAGCUUUGCCUUAGCAGUCCCCGCCAUGUGUGGGGUACAAAGAAGGCAAAAAAGAGUACUCUGGUGAGAGAAGCACCUGUGAUGCAUUUGACAGAGCUCCAGAGCAGUCACAGCCAACACCUCCAUGGCCCUUUGGGCAAGCAGUUAGAACAAGUUAUAUCCUCGGACCAUUGGCUCUGGAAGGGAAGAUACUGCCAGUUACAAGCACAGCAAUGAGAUUACCUAGAAUCCCCAAAGAAACCAUCUUGGUGCAGAUUUCGACCUUUCUGUGCCUCAUCUUUUAUAAACAUGAUCCAUUUAACAGGUGACAGUAUUGCUACACAGAUAACUUUUCAAGGCCAGCAAAAAAUCAAUCCACAAAUCCGAACGUUUUUCAAUCCAAAAAUGAAGGUGCUCAGAUGUUUCAAAAGAAAAAACCAGUCCAUGCUGGGAUAAGAGCCUUGUUUUCAGAACAUCAAAGAGAGUAUUCACAAGAUUAAAUAUAUAUAAGGAAAACAAAUGAGUAAAUAAAGCCUACU